CUUGUUGGGACGCUUCCAGGAAGAGCGUCGCCGAAUUUCCAAAAAGAUUGGGUGCCAUCUUUCAGGACGAUCUGGAAAAUUGCGUUAAUUUAAAUCAUGCAAGAACUUCAAUUUGAAAGAUAGAACGGAUUAGCAUUUCCAACGUCACAAGGUGUUCAAGAGAAAUAAUUCAUUUCUGUCAGAUAUUCAAACGAAGAGACAUAUGAUGCAUAAGAAACCGAAGGAAUAAUGAGGUGCAUGGCCAGAAAAACCCUCAUAGAGGUGAGUAUUCAGCAGCGAACAAGUGGUGGCCAUCAUCCACUAUACUCGGACAUUUGCAAUGAAUUACCAUUGCGACAAACUCUACAAUUACACUUUUUCGCCCCCUCUGAAUAAUGGAACAGGCCGGAAAAAAAAAUUGUUGACUCGAACAGUCGCUCAAAAAAAAAUCCUUUGGCCUGCGCUGAAAGAUCAAGACGAGUGGUUUGCAUGACUAAAGAAUCUAUUAUCUCUUCUUCCUACGAAUGAUAAUGAAACCCCAGCAAUUCUAUUAACCCUAAUUACACGCGUGCCUAGACUUUCUGAAGAGGAUUUAAACAGGCAAAGAGUCAUCAUUUUUCUUCGAGCCAACGUUUCAACAUUGGAGGUAAAUCAAAAGGAAUGAGAACCAGGUUCAUAGUCAGUCAGGUGAAAUAAUUAGACAUUAAAUUAAAUAUUGUUAAUAACUAAAAAUUGCAGUUGGUCAGCUGCAAACCGGGAAACGUCAUCAUGGUCCAUGCAGAAAUCGAAGAAAUGAGAUGGACCCGGGCGUAUCGCAGUUCAUAGAAAUCUUAGAGCUCUCAUCAAUCACCCAUGGAAAGAGAAAUGGCAUUGUCAGAUAUUCUCCUCGCAGAUGUUCCACGUAGACGUCCUCUCGACCGCUUUUAAGGAUCUCGACGUCGUGAAAGCUAUCCCAUUGUGCUGAUCGUUAAACCCGAAGGUGCACCGCGAGUCGUAAAGUCGACGCCAUCUCCCAUCGUCGCCAUUCGUCUUAUAAUAACUAUUUUCCCGGCUUUCCAGUGGUUUCUAACAUUUUUUACGAUACGAUAAAAAUUACGAUAGAACGAAUUGAUCCCGAUCCGGAGCAGAUCUCCGUCCCACACCUAUCACCGACCUCGAUACCUUGAACUGCACGCUUAGAAAAUCCACCGAGAAGAGCCAAAUUGCGAAUACGAGUACAUGCCUAUUAAAAAUUAAAAAUUAAAUAUUAAACACAAUAAUAUUUCCGGAAA